rnacentral:rRNA from 1 species
AUCAUUACAAGUGACCCCGGUCUAACCACCGGGAUGUUCAUAACCCUUUGUUGUCCGACUCUGUUGCCUCCGGGGCGACCCUGCCUUCGGGCGGGGGCUCCGGGUGGACACUUCAAACUCUUGCGUAACUUUGCAGUCUGAGUAAACUUAAUUAAUAAAUUAAAACUUUUAACAACGGAUCUCUUGGUUCUGGCAUCGAUGAAGAACGCAGCGAAAUGCGAUAAGUAAUGUGAAUUGCAGAAUUCAGUGAAUCAUCGAAUCUUUGAACGCACAUUGCGCCCCCUGGUAUUCCGGGGGGCAUGCCUGUUCGAGCGUCAUUUCACCACUCAAGCCUCGCUUGGUAUUGGGCAACGCGGUCCGCCGCGUGCCUCAAAUCGACCGGCUGGGUCUUCUGUCCCCUAAGCGUUGUGGAAACUAUUCGCUAAAGGGUGUUCGGGAGGCUACGCCGUAAAACAACCCCAUUUCUAAGGUUGACCUCGGAUCA